rnacentral:rRNA from 1 species
GAUGAACGCUGGCGGCGUGCCUAAUACAUGCAAGUCGAGCGAACGGACGAGAAGCUUGCUUCUCUGAUGUUAGCGGCGGACGGGUGAGUAACACGUGGAUAACCUACCUAUAAGACUGGGAUAACUUCGGGAAACCGGAGCUAAUACCGGAUAAUAUUUUGAACCGCAUGGUUCAAAAGUGGAAGACGGUCUUGCUGUCACUUAUAGAUGGAUCCGCGCUGCAUUAGCUAGUUGGUAAGGUAACGGCUUACCAAGGCAACGAUGCAUAGCCGACCUGAGAGGGUGAUCGGCCACACUGGAACUGAGACGCGGUCCAGACUCCUACGGGAGGCAGCAGUAGGGAAUCUUCCGCAAUGGGCGAAAGCCUGACGGAGCAACGCCGCGUGAGUGAUGAAGGUCUUCGGAUCGUAAAACUCUGUUAUUAGGGAAGAACAUAUGUGUAAGUAACUGUGCACAUCUUGACGGUACCUAAUCAGAAAGCCACGGCUAACUACGUG